rnacentral:rRNA from 1 species
UACGUAGGGUGCGAGCGUUAAUCGGAAUUACUGGGCGUAAAGCGUGCGCAGGCGGUUUUGUAAGCCAGAUGUGAAAUCCCCGGGCUUAACCUGGGAAUGGCAUUUGGGACUGCAAGGCUGGAGUGCGGCAGAGGAGACUGGAAUUCCUGGUGUAGCAGUGAAAUGCGUAGAUAUGUGGCGGAACACCGAUGGCGAAGGCAGCCCCCUGGGCUGAGAUUG